UCCAUCACUGUGGCCGAGUAUAUUCCAGUGGAGGCUAAGAGCAACCCGGCUUUAGGAAACAGGGCUGUCCAAACCAUUGGACCGCCCUGUGCCGAAAAGUCCGGAACACUG
rnacentral:snoRNA from 1 species